GUUUACGUAGCUCAGACAGGUAGAGCAAUGGCCUGAUAAGCCCGAGGUCAAUGGUUCGUUCGAUUCCAUUCGUAAACACCA
rnacentral:tRNA from 1 species